ACGGCUGUGCCCUCGGGGAGCUUACGUGAAGUUAUAAACAAAUGCAAAUACAAUGUAAAGUCAAAAGAUGGCCGGUGUUUAAAAGGCGAGGGGCAUGGCGCUACGGAAGCCUAGAAUACAAUAUGGCCGGGUAGGGGGCGGUUUCCCAAUGGAAACAAUAUUUGAACUGAAGGCUGAAGAAUGAGUAGAUGAAAAGAGGAGGAAAGCUUUCAGGUAGAGAGAAACAGCAUCUGCGAAGACUCAGCGAAGAGGGACAGAAAUACUCGAGGGUGGGGAGGGGCGUUAAAAGGCAGGGCCAGGUCACGUGAGAGGUUUAAAAAAAUCUGAGCGUGGGUCACAUCCCCCGGUCACUCUUGCCUGCUUUUCCCUUCCACUUCCCUUACUAAAAUGUAAGCUCUAUUAGGCCGGAGGUUCAUUUGGUCUGUUAAUUUCUAAUGAACAGUGCCCUAAUGCAGUAGUUCAAAAAUUCUUUGUCGAAUGAACUUGAGUCUUAAGUCUGAUUGCAAUGGGAACGUGCUAAUAACAAAGCCUUUACAUAUUUAAGGGGGUCGCUUGGCUGUAUGGAAAAGAUAGAAGGAUGUAAGGAAAUAGGUAGGGAAACAAGCUGUUGGAAUUGCCCAUGCAAGGCAGGGCUGUAUUCUGUCCUGGGGUCACCUCGACAGAGACCUUUGUAGCCACUCUGUCCAAGGUAGCUACUGUUUUAGGAGAAGAGCAACAUGGUUUAAAGAGGGAUUAUGAUCCCCUUUUACAUAUGAGAAAUUGAGGCUCAUAGAGGUUGGUGAACCUGCUCAAGGUCCCCCACUGAGGAUCUAGUGACACUAGAAAUCUGAUAGUCCAAACACCUGGCAUUGUUGGGAAGGAUGGAGCUUCAAGUCCACCUCAGACCUGUGAGCCUAUGCUUUGAAAGGACAACCAAACAAGGCAUUUUAACAAAGAAUGAAAAUGAGAAGGUCACGUCACUGCUCAAGGUCACACAGCUGAUGAGUGAAAACUUCCUUAGGGACUGAACCAGCAAGUGGAAUCACCUUUGGGAGCAGCUACCCUGGUUUGCCUUGAUGUGUCAGCACCACGGAGAGCAGCUUAUCUCACACCCCCACCCUGUAAUACUUAAGUCACUCGAACCGUGGUGAAGAAACAGACUAGUUGUUUCUAAUGGUUUCUUCAUCCCAAAAACGCUGCUGGACUAGAUCCAUGAUUUCACACUGCCCUGCAAGGAGCCCUAUGAUGUCACAGUGAUGGCCCACAGGCUACUGUACGGUGCAAAGGGGAGGUCAGGUGGGCGUCCUGACUCCAACCAGAGCAGCUCCACUUUUCUCUCUCUCAUAAACUGGGCUUCAGUAUAAGACUGGAUUAGGAGAAAGGGUCUGUCUUUGGUUAUCUUUGUUGUUAGUUUUUUUUUUUUUUGACAUUUUCUGAUUUCUUUAAUCUUACAUGCUUAUUUCCGUUUAGUUUUCCCUUUUAAAAUGGGCAUUCUCUAAGGCCCUGUAGUUCCAGUGCCCAUGAAAGUGGAGGGCAGGGAAUGUUUCACAACAACCCUCUAAUUGUUCGGAGGGGAAGCUCAGACCUGGAGACAGAAGGGACUUUUCCAAAGUUACACAGCAAUUGAGUGAUCAAGUGAGGAACGGGAUGCAGGUCUCCUGACCCCCAGAAGAGAUUAUCUGUACGAAUGAAAUGGAGCUAUAGUAAAGAAAAGUGUUUUAAAAAAUAAAUCUUCAAAGAGCAAGGAGAAGUUGACUUUAUUCAGGUACCUGGGGAAGAAAGUUAAAGCAACGAAUAAAAGACUCUUGGAACAUGCUGUCCUGCAGGAAGCUGGCUUGCUCAUAAAGAUAAAUGAAUGGGAGCAGAAAUUAGUGUUGGAAGUGGAACAGAGCUCGCCACAGAGUUGUCUGGCAUGCUUGGUCAUUAUCGUGAAUGUGUCAAUCAGGCAGUUCCCCGAGCCCCUCUGGGGUGCUGGGCAGAGCUCAGGCUGGGACACACAGGGGAGCCGCGCCUUGCAGGGGACCUGCCUCAAGGGUAUUUGGAGGGGUUCAGUUCUCCACUUAUUAUGCCAGAUCAGAAACUAUAAAUUGCUAGCCUCUGGAACAGGCACAGCUUGAAGAUGAUAUAUGUAUAUCUCUUAACUCAGCGUUAAAAUUUUUAAUAGCUGCUAAUAUUAAAAAAUAUGUGGAUUUCACAUAAAGUCUAGAUUUCUGGUCUCUUUUGAAUAACUGGCAAAUCUGGGCUGGCAUUGCUGUGUGGGGGGCCAUCGGCUGGAGCUGAGUGGCAGCCACCCCUACAGUUGGGGCCUGAGCACUCCAGUUUCCUGCAUUACCCUAUCCCACCUCCUGUCGUUUGCCCUCUGAGGCCAGAUGCUAGCUGCCCUUUAUCACAGUGCUCGUGCUGUGAUUUUUCUUAUGGUAGAGUAUUUUCUUAUACCUUAUUUCACUCAUUUAUUUACCCACCUGACUCCUGGAGAAAUCUGAUUUUGAGACCCACCCCAUGGACUGUUGCCUCCCUUCCUCCUU